GAAACCUACGAUCCACAUUCAAAUUCAUUGUGUGUACCAGGUACUGGAGUCUAGUACCAAUGUUUGACAAAUAUCUGUGAUUUUAAGAACUUUAACAAAGACAUGAUGUUAGCAGAUGUAAUCAUCACAUUCUGCGAGGAAGCCGGAGACAUACUACAAAACUUAAGUAUGCUUACAGAUGACAGUAGGGUAAUCAAAAUGCGAUACUCUUAUUCAGAAGAGCAAGAUGGAUAUGGAGACGACAUUGCAGAUGGAUAUGGAGACGACAUUGCAGAUGGAUAUGGAGACGACUGAUUCAACAAUAGAUCGUAGGACCAGGUGGACCAUACCAAAGACCUAGACUAGGGACUAGCCUUACUACACGUGGCCCUGACACGACAAAACAACUCAUAAGUUGAUGUUUUGAGUAAACUUCCAUCUAAUUUAAAUCAAAAAUAUACUAAAUACAGUUGAUUUUUUAAAGAUACAUCUAUUGACAAUGUGAAUUUUCAUUUUUUAUGCUCUUCUUAAUGCAAUAAGACAAAUCUCAUUUUAAGGUCGUUUUUAAAGUCAUCGUGAAUAUUUAUAGCUUGUAGGGGUUUUUACUGUUUAAAAAGGACAAAUCAAUAUGCUUAAAAUAAUAUAUUUAAUAACAACAAUUAGAGUGUAUACAAAAACUAUCUUUAAUGACUGAACUUGGGAUGAAUUGGCACUGUUAAUUAUUAUUUUUAAUUGUAAUUUAAUAAAUAAAUUCGAUAUACACAACGAUUAGAAAUUGGAAAUUUACAAUGGCGAAGAAAAGCCUUUCAAAUAUUUAUUGAGGAGGAAAGUGGUUCUUUGAUGUUAACUAAGAAUAAUGUAGAAGGAAAAUAUUUGUAAUGUCUCAUGUGUAAUUAUAAAAUAAAUUGUAUUCAGUUUAUAAUAA